UGUGCAAGCAGGAAGGAUGGCAGCACAUACUAAUUUCCUGGUGAAACCUUUUACACACAACACAUCACCUCUUUUAUCGAAUCACCGAUAGUCAGUGACUGAGAUAAGCAAAAGGCUUAAUGUUUUGUGUAACAUGGUUGUACAUGCAUCAGGUCAAAGAGGUCACAGGGGCUUCACCUUAGACAGCUGACUGAACAUAGGAUGGGAUCAAAUGGACACUUACUAUUUCUGCUGACUUGACCAGGUCCCCCGAGGGUCCAUCCCUGGUGAAGGUGAAAACCUGUAGGACAUUCUGUGUGUUACUCCCGACAACCAGAGAUCUCAGGCUGGGCUGUAAAUGAAAGCAACAUCUUAAGCAUAUUAAGGCUGCAACGAUUAACUGAAAUGUCGAUACUGUUCAAUAUAAAUGCUCGAUUCAAUGUUUGACUCAUUGACUCGAUUUUUGGUUCGAUGCAUUCAGUAAAAUACAUCAGGCUUGCCCUGUACUUAUUAUUUUUACCUGCAUGAGGAACAAAAUAAAGUCAAAGAAAGUUCA